GCAAAAUCAAAGUUCCCUAUAGUUAGAAGGGCAAGGAGCAAGGGAAGUUGGUCAGGAAAGACCGGCUGCCAGGAACGGCGAAAGGAACACCGCAGGACGCGGUAAGGGACACCUCCCAGGACGGAGACAGUCAAGCAGCUCAGGAUGAACUGCGGUCAGGAUGACCAUAGGACGCACCGACGGAACGGGAAGAGGAUCACCUUAAGGAAAAGGUAUUGUCAGGGAUUGCAGGGAGCAACUUGGUUUACGGACUAACCAUACGACAACCCAAAAGGGGGUGACAUGACGUCACCCCCUUUUUCUAUU
rnacentral:other from 1 species